rnacentral:rRNA from 1 species
AUUGAACGCUGGCGGCAGGCCUAACACAUGCAAGUCGAACGAGUGGCGGACGGGUGAGUAAUGUCUGGGAAACUGCCCGAUGGUGGGGGAUAACUACUGGAAACGGUAGCUAAUACCGCAUACCAUCGGGUGUGCCCAGAUGGGAUUGGCUAGUAGGUGGGGUAACGGCUCACCUAGGCGACGAUCCCUAGCUGGUCUGAGGGGAUGACCAGCCACACUGGAAAUGGGACACGGUCCAGACUCCUACGGGAGGCAGGAGUGGGGAAUAUGGCACAAUGGGCGAAAGCCGGAAGCAGCCAUGCCGCGUGUAUGAAGAAGGCCUUAGGGUUGUAAAGUACUUUCAUCGAGGAGGCGUUACUCGCAGAAGAAGCACCGGCUAACUCCGUGCCAGCAGCCGCGGUAAUAC